rnacentral:rRNA from 1 species
UNCCUUGGGANAGAAGNAACCCCGGGUNUCUGGGGCUAAUCCCUGAUAAGCGAUUAGGCUUGGAAUAGUUAAUCACCCAAAAGCCUCAAGACCACGCUCAAGAGGCGCCCAAGGACAAAGCCGCGACCGAUCAGGCUGUUGGUAGGGCAACGGCCUACCAAACCUAUAACCGGUACGGGCCGUGAGAGCGGAAGCCCGGAGAUGGAUACUGAGACAAGGAUCCAGGCCCUACGGGGCGCAGCAGUUGCGAAAACUCCACAAUGCACGAAAGUGUGAUGGGGCUACCCCGAGUGCCGUCCGCUGAGGAUGGCUUUUCUCUGCUGUAAGGAAGCGGAGGAAUAAGGAGAGGGCAAGUCUGGUGUCAGCCGCCGCGGUAAUACCAGCUCUCCGAGUGGUAGGGAUGAUUAUUGGGCUUAAAGCGUCCGUAGCCGGCUUGACAAGUCUUCUGUUAAAUCCAGCAACCCAAUUGUUGGACUGCGGGAGAUACUGCCUAGCUAGAGAACGGGAGAGGUCGACGGUACUCUCAGGGUAGGAGUGAAAUCCUAUAAUCCUGGGAGGACCACCAGUGGCGUANGCUGUCGACUAGAACGUGUCUGACGGUGAGGGACGAAAGCUUGGGGAGCGAAACCGGAUUANAUACCCGGGUAGUCCAAGCUGUAACGAUGCGGGCUANGUGUUGGGGUUGGCUACGUGCCACUUCAUGCCGCA